rnacentral:rRNA from 1 species
GACGAACGCUGGCGGCGUGCUUAACACAUGCAAGUCGAACGGAAAGGCCCUGCUUUUGUGGGGUGCUCGAGUGGCGAACGGGUGAGUAACACGUGAGUAACCUGCCCUUGACUUUGGGAUAACUUCAGGAAACUGGGGCUAAUACCGGAUAGGAGCUCCUGCUGCAUGGUGGGGGUUGGAAAGUUUCGGCGGGUGGGGAUGGACUCGCGGUUUAUCAGCGUGUUGGUGGGGUAGUGGCUUACCAAGGCUUUGACGGGUCGCCGGCCUGAGAGGGUGACCGGCCACUUUGGGACUGAGAUACGGCCCAGACUCCUACGGGAGGCAGCAGUGGGGAAUAUUGCACAAUGGGCGGAAGCCUGAUGCAGCAGCGCCGCGUGCGGGAUGACGGCCUUCGGGUUGUAACCCGCUUUCGCCUGUGACGAAGCGUGAGUGACGGUAAUGGGUAAAGAAGCACCGGCUAACUACGUG